GCGCGCGGGGAGGGGCCCGCGCGGCCCCGCCCACCGCCCCCCUCAGCGCGGCGCGAGCGCGGCCCGCCGAUGUUUUUGGGGUUUUUUUGGGCUACGAAGUGGCUCCUUUAGGGGUUCUCCCAAGAGGUGUAAAACUAAACUGCACCGAUGCGGUUUGUUUCGGCUCUCCGAGACUUUGGGGUUCCCAAAGCGGUACAGCGGUCUCCCAGCAGUGCCGGAGUCCGCUGGCAGUCCCUCGGAUUUUUCUGAGUCAACUCCCAUGUUUUUAAUUACAGCAGCGUCUUUAGGGUCUGUCUCUCAAGAGAUGUAAACUGGGCGGUGUUAAUCGUUUCAGCUCUUAAGGCUGGCGUUCCCAAGAAGUCUCCCAGCAGUGCCACGAAGCCCUCCUGCCACUAGGGAGAGCAAGGAUUGUCAUUAUUGGAUUGGGAAAGUAAACCACCAUAGAUUUAGCAUCACCAAGCUCAAGAGGGGAUAACUGAGAUGUGCAGCUUUCCUGCUGACACCUCCAUUCCCACCUAAGUACUGCAAGAGUGCACAUCACCUUACAAACACAGAGAAGAUGACACAGGCCUGCCCCGAGGAGCUUACAAUUCAACUUUGACAAACACCACAAAAAAUUCUGUGGACAGCAAAAGGUGGGAGAGAUGGAGCAUGAAAAGACCAGGCUUUGCUGUGGGAGUUGAACAUUUUAGUUGCUGUAGCAGCAUUGCAGUUAAGUUGGAGCCUCAGCAAGAUUUGCUCUUUUUUUUUUUGCAUACAUCUGUGUCCAGUUUCAUCUCAAGGAUCCAGAUAUAGCUUUAUGCAGUUACUGUCAUAGUGUAAAGUGUCCUAUUAAAGCAGAACAGCACAGAUUUUCUCUGCUACUUUUGACACAGUGUCAUUGCAUUAGUGCUAUAAAGACUCUGUCAACAGGGCUUAGGCACUGACAGAUUAGUGAAAGCAAAAAGCUGUCAUCCUCCAUUCCCCACUCUGUGAAUUUAAUUUUUUAUAUGUAUUUUUUUAGCAUGGAUGCACAUUCAAUGCAUGUGAGUCUGUAGAGGUCAGGAGCAGCAUUUUCAGAAGGUGCAAUCACCUUUACACAGCAACACCCUUGACUCUGAGGGCCCCUACAAACAGCAAGUACUCACAGAUGAGGUUUCUGCUUCAUUACAUUCCACUGGGGAUGCUUCCAUGGAGGUCUUUCCCACGACCACCCUCCUUGCACUCCUCAUGUGAAUGAGGGUUAGGGGGGGGUACAAGGGGCAUAAAAAACCCCCAAGACCUACAAAUUCAUAAUUUAGGAAUUAUGAAAGUAGUUAAACACAUUGACCUAUACUUGAGUUAUAAAGGUAAACACAUUAUUGAUUCAAAUUGCUGGGGCUCUCCAGCCUUUGGUAGCCCAUUUAUUUUUCCCACAAGGUGGCUCAUGCACACAGGGAGUGCACCAGGAAUUUUCUUGAUCCUUCAUCUCUCAGCUAGAAGGCAGCAAUGCUGUUUUCCACUCCAAACAUACAUAAUCCACAAUUACAUUUCCCUGAGCCUCAAAAAACGAGGCAAACUGACCCUGAUCCACCACGUGACAGGACCACCCUGACAAUGUUUGUUUCUGCACUGUGCAUGACAACAUUUAAAGAGGCUGGAGGCAGAAUAUUGUCCUCCAAGAGCCCAUUGCUGCAGGAGGUGCAGGACUGAAGCAGUUACGCCACAAUCAGUAAAGUAUUUGCAUAUCUUGCAUGCAGAUAUAUUUGAGACUGCUUUAAAAUUAGUUUGGUUCACAACUGUCAGAAUAAAUUAAACCCCACUAGCGUCAGACCAGUGUUUUACCUUAGCCCAGCAUGCUUUCUUCAUCUGUGACCAAUUCUCAAAAGACAGAAUAUGUAGAAAGAACAAUAAUCUUUCCUUGGCACAACUUUCUUAUUUACAGCAACUUAAAAUCUCCCUGAGUUAGUGGAUGCAGAGCAUUGUUUAACCAGCCCCUUUAAAAAAAGAAAUAA